rnacentral:rRNA from 1 species
AUUGAACGCUGGCGGUAUGCUUAACACAUGCAAGUCGAACGGAAACGAUACUAGCUUGCUAGUAGGCGUCGAGUGGCGGACGGGUGAGUAACGCGUAGGAAUCUGCCUGAUAGUGGGGGAUAGCCCGGAGAAAUUCGGAUUAAUACCGCAUAAUCUAUUCGUAGUAAAGUGGGGGACUUUCGAGCCUCACGCUAUCAGAUGAGCCUGCGUAAGAUUAGCUUGUUGGUAGGGUAAAAGCCUACCAAGGCGACGAUCUUUAGCUGGUCUGAGAGGAUGAUCAGCCACAUCGGGACUGAGACACGGCCCGAACUCCUACGGGAGGCAGCAGUGGGGAAUAUUGGACAAUGGGGGCAACCCUGAUCCAGCAAUACCGCGUGUGUGAAGAAGGCCUGAGGGUUGUAAAGCACUUUCAAUUGUGAAGAAAAGUUAACGGUUAAUAACCGUUAGCCUUGACGUUAACUUUAGAAGAAGCACCGGCUAACUCCGUGCCAGCAGCCGCGGUAAUACGGAGGGUGCAAGCGUUAAUCGGAAUUACUGGGCGUAAAGCGUGCGUAGGUGGUCUAUUAAGUCAGAUGUGAAAGCCCCGGGCUUAACCUGGGAACUGCAUUUGAAACUGGUAAACUAGAGUAUGGUAGAGGAAAGUGGAAUUUCUGGUGUAGCGGUGAAAUGCGUAGAUAUCAGAAGGAACAUCAAUGGCGAAGGCAGCUUUCUGGACCAAUACUGACACUGAGGUACGAAAGCGUGGGUAGCAAACAGGAUUAGAUACCCUGGUAGUCCACGCCGUAAACGAUGAUAACUAGCCGUUGGGGGGAUUUACCCUUUAGUGGCGAAGCUAACGCGUUAAGUUAUCCGCCUGGGGAGUACGGCCGCAAGGUUAAAACUCAAAGGAAUUGACGGGGACCCGCACAAGCGGUGGAGCAUGUGGUUUAAUUCGAUGCAACGCGAAGAACCUUACCUGGUCUUGACAUCCUGCGAACUUUCUAGAAAUAGAUUGGUGCCUUCGGGAACGCAGUGACAGGUGCUGCAUGGCUGUCGUCAGCUCGUGUCGUGAGAUGUUGGGUUAAGUCCCGUAACGAGCGCAACCCCUAUCCUUAUUUGCCAGCACAUUAUGGUGGGAACUAUAAGGAGACUGCCGGUGAUAAACCGGAGGAAGGCGGGGACGACGUCAAGUCAUCAUGGCCCUUACGACCAGGGCUACACACGUGCUACAAUGGGAAGGACAAAGAGCCGCGAAGCCGCGAGGUGUAGCUAAUCUCAUAAACCUUUUCGUAGUCCGGAUUGGAGUCUGCAACUCGACUCCAUGAAGUCGGAAUCGCUAGUAAUCGUAGAUCAGAAUGCUACGGUGAAUACGUUCCCGGGUCUUGUACACACCGCCCGUCAUACCAUGGGAGUGGGUUGCACCAGAAGUGGCUAGUCUAACUUAGUGAGGGACGGUCACCACGGUGUGAUUCAUGACUGGGGUAAAGUCGUAACAAGGUAGCCCUACCGGAAGGUGGGGCUGGAUCACCUCCUUA